CCGCAUUUAGCUCAGUGGUCGAGCGUUGGCUUUGGAAGCCACAGGUCGGUGGUUCGAACCCGCCAGGGCACA
rnacentral:tRNA from 1 species